rnacentral:rRNA from 1 species
AUUGAACGCUGGCGGCAGGCCUAACACAUGCAAGUCGAAUGGUAACAGGAAACAGCUUGCUGUUUCGCUGACGAGUGGCGGACGGGUGAGUAAUGUCUGGGAAACUGCCUGAUGGAGGGGGAUAACUACUGGAAACGGUAGCUAAUACCGCAUAACGUCGCAAGACCAAAGAGGGGGACCUUCGGGCCUCUUGCCAUCAGAUGUGCCCAGAUGGGAUUAGCUAGUAGGUGGGGUAACGGCUCACCUAGGCGACGAUCCCUAGCUGGUCUGAGAGGAUGACCAGCCACACUGGGACUGAGACACGGUCCAGACUCCUACGGGAGGCAGCAGUGGGGAAUAUUGCACAAUGGGCGCAAGCCUGAUGCAGCCAUGCCGCGUGUAUGAAGAAGGCCUUCGGGUUGUAAAGUACUUUCAGCGGGGAGGAAGGGAGUAAAGUUAAUACCUUUGCUCAUUGACGUUACCCGCAGAAGAAGCACCGGCUAACUCCGUG